AAGUCGUAACAAGGUCUCCGUAGGUGAACCUGCGGAGGGAUCAUUAACACGUAUCCAAACGUUAUUCAAACCCAAAACGGUCUCCUAUAUUCCCAUGGAGGGAGGUGUCUAGUAAGCCACAGAUGGAUUGGAACUCUUCACGGGGUUCCAUCUGCUUGCAGACUACAGGUCCUUUGAGUCCACCCGAUUCUCCAUGGUGUAUCAAAGCCAUCUGGUUAUUAGUGCCACCCCGGUAUCGACCCGGAGCCUAGUAGCCUUAUUAAUCCCUUAUUUUUAACCCCUUUAUUAUUACAAUAACUACUGACUUAAAAUACUUAAAAAACACUUUAAUGGUGGCAAGAAAGCCCUUUUGGGUAGACUUCCCUAUUUGGGUGCUUUUUUAUGUUUUUACGAAACGCGAACAACUCUUAGCAACGGAUAUCUUGGUUCUC
rnacentral:misc_RNA from 1 species